GGCCUACUUUCCACAGGAACUGGAUGCAAGGUCCUAGUUUUCUGUGGCCAAGACAACGACUUUCACAGGUGUUUACCCCAGAUGAUGACACUGCUUCAGUAUGAAGUCUCAUGAACUGAGUCUAGACCCCCAGUGAGGUCAGUCUCACCUGUCCUCCUCUGCACGUAUCUGGGAUGUGUCACGGCUUGGUGGUCUUUGAAGAUGUGGCUGGAACUUCAUACAGGAGGAGUGGGCUUUGCUGGAUUUUUCCCUGAAGAAUCUGUACAGAGAUGUGAUAUGUGAAGCCAUCAGCACUUGAAUUCUAUAGGCUGCCUUGGAAAUACUCCUUAAUGAAACACGCAAAGCUCUGUCCAUUUGGCCUGACAAGAAACUCAAAUGUGAAAUGCGAUUUAUCAGAAGCGGCUGGCCUUAGAUUAUUUGCUAGCAGCUGAAGGAGUCUGUGGAAGAUUCAGUCUAACCAACUGCUGCCUACACACAGAUGACCAGGGUCAAGCAGUGGAGGACAUUGCAAGAGACAUGACCAAACUGGCACACGAGCCUCUGCAGGUAUGGCACGAAUUUAACCCUGAGUCCUUGUUUGGAGGUUGGUUCUCAUCUUUAGAAGGAUUCAAGACUCUCAUCUUAAGUGUUGUAAUAAUAAUAGGUGUUUGCUUGCUACUUCCUUGUUUACUUCCCCUGUUCCUUCAGAUGAUUAGAGAAAUUCUUCACUGCUGUAAUAGACCAGAGAACCACAUCACAAAUAUAUGUAUCAUUAUCAAUCAGUUUCUUCAGAGGAUCAUGAAAAUGAGAAUGAGAGUGAGAAUUCUCACUAAUGUUAUAGGCGAAAUUCUCAAAGAGGGGAGUGAGGGAGGAGACCUUAAUCAUCCUUAAGCAUCUAAGACCAUCCCCACCCUUGACUUCCACCCUGCAUUUCAAUAGGAGAAGUAAAGGCUGGCAGACUGGGCGCCACCUUAAUUGCCUUCCUGUAGAUCACAGGCAUGGCGUGGAGGAAUCUUUCUGGAAGGCAUUGUUUUUACUUAAACCUGAUCAAACCCCCACCUAAGUCACUAUACUCCAUGCCUACUCCAGGGCCCAAGACCCUUUCACAUGUAAAUUCUAGAGUUGUAAGCCCAAGGUCCUUUCACCUGUAACUUCUAGAGGUGUAGCCUUUAAAAUGGCAGGGACUUUCUCUUCCAAGCUCAAGCUUGGCUGUUAGGCAACUAUGCCACCUUGCACCUAGCCAAAUAAAUCACCCUUUCCUUCCCAGUUUGGUGUUCAAGAGGUCUGUUUCUCGAGGCUGCUCCUGCUUCAUUACGAUUUGUCUUUUAAUGAAAAUGGUAAACUGGAGAGAGAAAAUGUUUCAAAAACUAUAGCAUAUCUGUUCUUAAAUUCCAGUGUUGUCUAAUGUUUUUUAAUUUUUACUAUUUUCUGUUCAAGUUAAAUUCUAAUUUUUCUGGCUACAAGUUUCCAAAAUAUGCUGUGCCUUCUAAAAGUCCUAUAAACUGAAAACUAGGUGUUUAAGCUGGUGCUGUCCCUAAGCCCCCUAACCCUCACAGGAAGAAAUAAGUAGAAACUCUUAAGCUAAAAAUCCUAAUAAGUAAGUAACCCAGUGAGAAAUAUCCUACUCAGUCUCAUCCCUUCCUCAGCAAAUACUUGUCAUUUCUGUCUCUCCUUUUAAGCCAAAUAUUAAAACCUUUUGAUGGAAAUUAUUUACUACACCACCCGUGUGGAAUUGCUUUAUUCACUCUACUGUCUGCAGUAGCACCCUCAGGGUAAAACAGCAGACAGAGAAUCUCAAUUACCAUAGCAUUUUAAUUAUUAUCCUCAUAGCAGAAAUAAUGGUUAC